GAUGAACGCUAGCUACAGGCUUAACACAUGCAAGUCGAGGGGCAGCACAGUGUAGCAAUACAUGGGUGGCGACCGGCGCACGGGUGCGUAACGCGUAUCCAACCUUCCCGUUACUCUUGGAUAGCCUUCCGAAAGGGAGAUUAAUACAAGAUGGUAUUCAAAUUCCGCAUGUUAUUUGAAUUAAAGAUUUAUCGGUAACGGAUGGGGAUGCGUGACAUUAGGUAGAUGGCGGGGUAACGGCCCACCAUGCCUACGAUGUCUAGGGGUUCUGAGAGGAAGGUCCCCCACACUGGAACUGAGACACGGUCCAGACUCCUACGGGAGGCAGCAGUGAGGAAUAUUGGUCAAUGGUCGGAAGACUGAACCAGCCAAGUAGCGUGAAGGAUGAAGGUUCUAUGGAUUGUAAACUUCUUUUAUACGGGAAUAAACCUCCACGUGUGGGAGCUUGUAUGUACCGUAUGAAUAAGCAUCGGCUAACUCCGUG
rnacentral:rRNA from 1 species